CUUUAAGGCCCUGGAAACGGAUGUGAAGGCUACAGCAGGACGAAACCCAGAGCUAGAGGCAAUAUAGGCUUUGGAUAAGUUCGAAUCCAUACAUUUAUCCAUGGGAUCAUGUAAAAUACCAGCAUCAUCCACUGGAAGGGUGGUCUUUUUGGCUAAUCGGACAGUUGCUGCAUCCACUUUGAGGGCAAGAUCCCAAGAAAUACUGUCAUCAAAUUUAAAAGGGUAAAGUUUAGAAAAAC